rnacentral:rRNA from 1 species
AUACGGAGGGUGCAAGCGUUACUCGGAAUCACUGGGCGUAAAGCGCGCGCAGGCGGUCUUUUAAGUUGGAUGUGAAAGCCUACAGCUCAACUGUAGAACUGCAUCCAAAACUAUUAGACUAGAGUCUGGGAGGGGAAGAUGGAAUUAGUUGUGUAGGGGUAAAAUCUGUAGAGAUAACUAGGAAUACCAAAAGCGAAGGCGAUCUUCUGGAACAGUACUGACGCUAAGGUGUGAAAGCGUGGGGAGCAAACAGGAUUAGAAACCCCGGUAGUCC